rnacentral:rRNA from 1 species
GUCGAACGAGAAAGUGGAGCAAUCCAUGAGUAAAGUGGCGCACGGGUGAGUAACACGUGACUAACCUACCCUUGAGUGGGGAAUAACCUAGGGAAACCUGGGCUAAUACCGCAUAACACCUACGGGUCAAAGGAGCAAUUCGCUUAAGGAGGGGGUCGCGGCAGAUUAGCUAGUUGGCGGGGUAAUGGCCCACCAAGGCAGUGAUCUGUAUCCGGCCUGAGAGGGCGCACGGACACACUGGAACUGAAACACGGUCCAGACUCCUACGGGAGGCAGCAGUGGGGAAUUUUGCGCAAUGGGGGAAACCCUGACGCAGCAACGCCGCGUGGAGGAUGAAGUCCCUUGGGACGUAAACUCCUUUCGACCGGGAAGAUUAUGACGGUACCGGAAGAAGAAGCCCCGGCUAACUUCGUGCCAGCAGCCGCGGUAAUACGAGGGGGGCAAGCGUUGUUCGGAAUUAUUGGGCGUAAAGGGUGCGUAGGCGGUUCGGUAAGUCUUGUGUGAAAUCUUCGGGCUCAACUCGAAGUCUGCACGAGAAACUGCCGGGCUUGAGUGUGGGAGAGGUGAGUGGAAUUUCCGGUGUAGCGGUGAAAUGCGUAGAUAUCGGAAGGAACACCUGUGGCGAAAGCGGCUCACUGGACCACAACUGACGCUGAGGCACGAAAGCUAGGGGAGCAAACAGGAUUAGAUACCCUGGUAGUCCUAGCCCUAAACGAUGAUCGCUUGGUGUGACGGGUACCCAAUCCCGCCGUGCCGAAGCU